CUUUUAAUGGUUACCUUAAAUUUCUUCCUUUUUUUGGAGGAGAAAAUACUGAGCAACAAGCAAAUUUGGAAAUGGUAAUAUACACAAGAAAUCUUCAGUCUAGCCCAAUAACAGAAUGAUAGCUUCAAAGUGAUAAAAUUGAGGCAUUGGCAGUAUUGCAGUAAGGCAUAAGUACAUAAAGAGAGAGAGUCUAUAUGAGAAAAUAGGCUAAUCAAGUAAUCAACAAGUUCCUAUGUUACUUAAAUAUGCAGGCUGCUGUCAACUUUAAACAAAAAUAUGAACCCAACACACACAAGUCACGCAUGAAAGGCUUUUCCAGCCUAAUUUUUUGAAUCAGGACGCUAAGUAGUGAGUUGCUUGGAUACGAGCUAUAAAGGCUGAAGUUUUAUCAUUGAUGCGAGGAUCAGCAGUCCAAGGACUUUCAUCUUCAUCGCUAGGCAGCACCUUCUGUGACCUCCUACCAUGGCUAGAACUAUCUUCUUCUCUCAGAGGUUUCCGAGCCUUGCCCUUGAAUAACUUAAGAACAGACUUGUUGUUCCUCUUGUUGUCGCCCAUGAAUGUUUGAAUUCUUGCUUUUUCUCUAACUGAUAUAGAAGCUCAAGUGCUGUGUCUUGGGUUUGAAUGGCGAGGAGCUGUAUUGUAUUUGUAAGUGGAGUCUGGAGGUACUGUGCUUUUGGUUUU
rnacentral:misc_RNA from 1 species